GGGUUUUAGCAACUGAUUGGAAAGUGAUGCCAUUCACAUUGGACACGUUUAAAUUUGAGACGCUAGUGGAACAACCAUGUAUAGACACCUACUCGGCAAUCCUGCAUAUGAUCUCAACAUCAGAAGAGAGAUGUGGGCUGAUGACACAGAACUGAGAAUAGCCAGCGUUGCCACUGGGAGUAACCAUCACAUAUGUGGCAAAAAAGGCCAUUGGCGCAGAUAUAAUCACCCAGGCGGGAUGUGUAAAAUGGAAAAAGAAGGCAACCUAGAAGCAGGAUUCAACGUAUCAGAUACAGUAAUGAAGACAAUAAGAAAUUGGAUUGAUCCAGGUCUGGAGUUUUGCCACAGAGUGAAAUGGAACAACAAUAUGCAGGAGAAGUGAGGAUACUGAAUUCUACUUGAAAAUUAUACAGAAACAAUUUCUUAGAAUGCUCACAAAAGACCUGAAAACAUGGGGAGGAAGCAGGGCAUUUACAGAUGCAGUCUUGCUCUGUUGCCAGGCUGGAGUGCAGUGGCGUGAUCUCGGCUCACUGCAACCUCCGUCUCCCAGGCUCAAGCAGUUCUCCUGCCUCAGCUUCCUGAGUAGCUGGGACUACAGCUUAUAACUCAUGCAAAACAACAUGCUGCAAUGUUCUGAUGAAAUGCUCCUCUACAGUCGAGGCUCCCAGAAGGCAGAGAGCAUAUUCAUUAACUCAUUCUGCUCAACACUUAGCUCAUGUCCAUGGAGAGAUGUUGAAUAUGAGCUCCUAUUAAAAAGAGGGAAUACAAUCAAUCAUUUGAGAAUGUCCAAAAAGAACUUUUCCUUUCCAUCGAGCCUUACAAAUUAUUCUAAGAUUGUUUCUGUAAAUACCAUGUAAUUGGGAGAGAUACACAGGGAGCGUCAAUUGUGUCUGUAAUGUUUUACUGCUUAUGAUAAAAAGAUCUGAAACUAAUGUGACAAAAUACUAAGAUUUCACAGAAUUCAGUGUUGAGUGUCCUCUAAGUUAUUAUCUUUAUUCUUCAAAUAUUUCAUAAGGAAAAAGAUGGUGGGAACUUACAAUAUUUAUUAUUUUUUUGGAGAAUGGCUGGAUAAUAUACAUUGAAAUCUGCUAAGAAUUUACCAGAAGGAAGGAAAGAGAAACACACACACACACACACACACACACAGAGAGAGAGACAGAGAGAGAGAGAGAGGAAAAAAAAAUAUAUCCUUGGAAUGCCAAGCCCAAAGAUGCAAGUCUAUCUGCCGAUUUAUAAAAGCAAAUAAAGAGAAACCAUCUAAAUGCCAAUAUGAAAGGAUUAGGAAAUAUUUAUAUAUUCACCCAAUAUGUUAAAUAUUCUGUAUACAUUAAAAAUAAUGAAUUAGAAAAAUGGAAAAAACACUUCUUACAAGUGAAAAAAAAUGAGCUACCAAAUAAUAUGGAUGGAUAGUACAAUUCCAUUUCUCUAUAAGAACAGAAAUAGAGAUCCAGGGAGUCAAACAGAUUGACAGACAUAGAUUCUUGAUUUUUUAAAGGCAUAACAUCUACACAUAAAAUAUAAAUAAAUAAGUGC